rnacentral:rRNA from 1 species
UGAGGAAUAUUGGUCAAUGGGCGGGAGCCUGAACCAGCCAAGCCGCGUGAAGGAAGAAGGCGCUAAGCGUCGUAAACAUCUUUUGUCGGGGAACAAAGGUCCGGACGUGUCCGGAUGAGAGUGUACCCGAAGAAAAAGCAUCGGCUAACUCCGUGCCAGCAGCCGCGGUAAUACGGAGGAUGCGAGCGUUAUCCGGAUUUAUUGGGUUUAAAGGGUGCGUAGGCGGUCUGUUAAGUCAGCGGUAAAAGCCCGGGGCUCAACCCGCGAGCGUGCAAUACUGGCGGACUAGAGAGGGCGAGAAGUACGCGGAAUGCGCAGUGUAGCGUGAAAUGCAUAGAUAUUGCGCAGAACUCCGAUUGCGAAGGCAGCGUAACCGGCGCCUUUCUGACGCUGAGGCACGAAAGCGUGGGUAUCGAACAGGAUUAGAUACC